ensembl:lncRNA
CGAAAGCCUGAAGCAGAGCACAGGUGCCGUGUUCAACCAAAACCCCAUAAUCCGGCUGAGCGAGAACAGGCCGAGUUUCCUAACACCUGUGCGAGUCCUGACACGAUGCCGGAUCGUGACACGGAACCAGGGAUGGGAUCGCGGAACAGGGAGUGAGACUAGACCCAGAAAAACGGGAUUCCGCUCUCACUCCCUGCUCACGGGGCAACAUACUUUCCCACGAGAAAAACCUUUCGGCGCUUUUUUUUUCCGUCCAGGUAGGCGCAGGAGAAACCAGACAGGAGAUACCGGGAGAUGGAUACAUAGAUACUAAACCUGGGAGGACUAGGGGCAUGUUUCCGUGUGUUACGAUAGGGGGGGGCUUCUGACAGCACACAGACACUCACAGGGAUUAAGGAUGAGCUCCAUGAGAAAAUACUGUAGAUAGGCAUCAGCAGGCCGUCUCUGGUCCACAUUAGUGUGUGUUAAGUGUACAAUACGUAUAAUAUACAGCGGUUUGGAUCAAAGUGUCAGGGUGUCAGAAUCCACUGAGUCAACCCGGAGUGGUUGAAUACACCCCUGUAGCUGUCUACCAUGAGUGCAAACACAUUUUGAACAAUGUGGCCCGGGUGUGGUUCCUUCAGCUGGCAUUGGCAUCGCACGUGACCCAUCAAAGGACCUGGACAGCCGCUGGAUGUGGAGAGAUCUCUUUGCUGCGACGCCUCUUCCUGCUCUUUUAAGGAAUACCAAAGGAAGUGAUCAUCAGGGAGAACAACAGAAAAAAAGCCCUGUUUACUGUGGAUGUUAUUUUUAUUACUCGUGUUAAGAGGGAGUUCAAGCUGUUGUUGAAGCACCUCUUCAGGCAAUAUGCCCUCAAACCAGGUUACUAACUGGGGCCCGACCCUGACCUUUGACCUGCAUGUGAAGGGAGCAGCGGAGACAACAACGGUUCAUAUGAGGAAACCGCAAGACGUUUUACUGAAAUUUGUGCCAAAACUUGCAACUUUACAUUAAUAAACGUAUUUAAUAAAAGAAUAUUAAAGGUAACAUUGUAGAACAAAGUAUUCAGAUCCCUUUUCACAAGUAAAAGCAUAAAUACCAUAAUCACUAAAAGUACUGCACUGAAAGUGAGAAUUCUUCAUUCAAAAACUAAUUACGAGCAAAUUCUAAUUGAAGAACUGAAGUUAAGUGAUGGCAAGAGUAUUGAUAUUAUUAAUGAACUAUAUUAAUACUACAAAAUAAAAAAUACUGUAUAACAAGC